rnacentral:rRNA from 1 species
AGCGUAAUAGCUCACUGGUCGAGUCGGCCUGCGCGGAAGAUGUAACGGGGCUAAACCAUGCACCGAAGCUGCGGCAGCGACACUAUGUGUUGUUGGGUAGGGGAGCGUUCUGUAAGCCUGUGAAGGUAGCCUGUGAGGGUUGCUGGAGGUAUCAGAAGUGCGAAUGCUGACAUAAGUAACGAUAAAGCGGGUGAAAAGCCCGCUCGCCGGAAGACCAAGGGUUCCUGUCCAACGUUAAUCGGGGCAGGGUGAGUC